AGUCUGUAAGAAUGGGGUAAAAUCAUAAAUAAGAUCGUUGAUUAUGUAAUGUCGUGACUUAGUAACACUAUUGAUGUAGUUUAUUAGAUUUAUUUUGUUGUUUUCUUUGGAAAUAAAUUAUAAUUGAGUUUUCUCUGCCAGGGUUUUUAUGGUCAAGUUUUGGAAGCAUCAAUCAGGACUCCACAUGUCAAUGGUCAGAGAGGUCAGAGUACAGAGCUCACCAAAGUUGCCAUAAAAAAAUUGUUACAAAAUGAUGCGGUUGAAGAUCAUGCGAAGAACUUUGUAAGAGAAAUCUGCCUAGCUUGUGAACUUGAACAUCCAAACAUUGUGAAGGUCUUACAUUUUACUUAUAAUACAUCGUUGAAAAUAGUUGAUGAAAACUUCUCAAACAUCUUGUUGAUCAUGGAGUAUAUGACAAUGGGCUCCUUGAGCAGUUUUGCUAAGAAUGAAAUAAAUUCUCCAGAUGAACCUAAUUCUGAAAUACUGCUAAACAUUUGCAUUCAAAUAGCUGAGGCAAUGGUGUAUCUGUCUGGAAAAGAAAUUGUGCAUCGUGAUCUGGCUGCUCGAAAUGUACUGCUGACUAAAGUCGCAGGUGAAAUCAUCGCAAAGGUGUCUGACUUUGGUAUGGCACGUUACCUGAAAGAAAAUUAUAGUUUUUACAGCAUUAAGCCCAAAGAAAUGUUGCCAAUUUUUU
rnacentral:sRNA from 1 species